rnacentral:rRNA from 1 species
GGAUGAAGGUAAGGUAAUACUUACUGGAGGUCCGAACCCACGCACGUUGAAAAGUGCGGGGAUGAGGUGUGGGUAGCGGAGAAAUUCCAAUCGAACUUGGAGAUAGCUGGUUCUCUCCGAAAUAGCUUUAGGGCUAGCCUCGAGGUAAAGAGUCAUGGAGGUAGAGCACUGUUUGGACUAGGGGCCCUUCUCGGGUUACCGAAUUCAGAUAAACUCCGAAUGCCAUGUACUUAUACUCGGGAGUCAGACUGCGAGUGAUAAGAUCCGUAGUCGAAAGGGAAACAGCCCAGACCACCAGUUAAGGUCCCCAAAUAUAUGUUAAGUGGAAAAGGAUGUGGGGUUGCUUAGACAACCAGGAUGUUGGCUUAGAAGCAGCCACCAUUGAAAGAGUGCGUAAUAGCUCACUGGUCGAGUGACCCCGCGCCGAAAAUGUACCGGGGCUAAACAUAUUACCGAAACUGUGGAUGAACCUCUUUAGAGGUUCGUGGUAGGAGAGCGUUCUAAGGGCGGUGAAGUCAGACCGGAAGGACUGGUGGAGCGCUUAGAAGUGAGAAUGCCGGUAUGAGUAGCGAAAGAAGGGUGAGAAUCCCUUCCACCGAAUAUCUAAGGUUUCCUGAGGAAGGCUCGUCCGCUCAGGGUUAGUCGGGACCUAAGCCGAGGCCGAUAGGCGUAGGCGAUGGACAACAGGUAGAGAUUCCUGUACCAGUGCUAAUUGUUUAACCGAUGGGGUGACACAGAAGGAUAGGGAAUCGCACGAAUGGAAAUGUGCGUCCAAGCAGUGAGUGUGAGAAGUAGGCAAAUCCGCUUCUCGCGAAGCAUGAGCUGUGAUGGGGAAGGAAAUUAAGUACGGAAGUUCCUGAUUUCACGCUGUCAAGAAAAGCCUCUAGGAAGAGUAGUACUGCCCGUACCGCAAACCGACACAGGUAGAUGAGGAGAGAAUCCUAAGGUGAGCGAGAGAACUCUCGUUAAGGAACUCGGCAAAAUGACCCCGUAACUUCGGGAGAAGGGGUGCUCUAUUAGGGUGCAAGCCCGAGAGAGCCGCAGUGAAUAGGCCCAGGCGACUGUUUAGCAAAAACACAGGUCUCUGCAAAACCGUAAGGUGACGUAUAGGGGCUGACGCCUGCCCGGUGCUGGAAGGUUAAGAGGAGUGCUUAGCUUCGGCGAAGGUACGAAUUGAAGCCCCAGUAAACGGCGGCCGUAACUAUAACGGUCCUAAGGUAGCGAAAUUCCUUGUCGGGUAAGUUCCGACCCGCACGAAAGGCGCAACGAUCUGGGCACUGUCUCAACGAGAGACUCGGUGAAAUUAUAGUACCUGUGAAGAUGCAGGUUACCCGCGACAGGACGGAAAGACCCCGUGGAGCUUUACUGCAACCUGAUAUGGAAUGUUUGUACCGCUUGUACAGGAUAGGUAGGAGCCGAAGAGACGUGUGCGCUAGCAUACGAGGAGGCAAUGGUGGGAUACUACCCUGGCUGUAUGACCAUUCUAACCCGCCACGCUUAGCGCGUGGGGAGACAGUGUCAGGUGGGCAGUUUGACUGGGGCGGUCGCCUCCUAAAGAGUAACGGAGGCGCCCAAAGGUUCCCUCAGAAUGGAUGGAAAUCAUUCGCAGAGUGUAAAGGCACAAGGGAGCUUGACUGCGAGACUGACAAGUCGAGCAGGGACGAAAGUCGGGCUUAGUGAUCCGGUGGUUCCGCAUGGAAGGGCCAUCGCUCAACGGAUAAAAGCUACCCCGGGGAUAACAGGCUUAUCUCCCCCAAGAGUCCACAUCGACGGGGAGGUUUGGCACCUCGAUGUCGGCUCGUCGCAUCCUGGGGCUGUAGUCGGUCCCAAGGGUUGGGCUGUUCGCCCAUUAAAGCGGCACGCGAGCUGGGUUCAGAACGUCGUGAGACAGUUCGGUCCCUAUCCGUCGCGGGCGCAGGAAAUUUGAGAGGAGCUGUCCUUAGUACGAGAGGACCGGGAUGGACACACCGCUGGUGUACCAGUUGUUCCGCCAGGAGCAUCGCUGGGUAGCUAUGUGUGGCAGGGAUAAACGCUGAAAGCAUCUAAGCGUGAAGCCCCCCUCAAGAUGAGAUUUCCCAUUUCUUCGGAAAGUAAGAUCCCUGAAAGAUGAUCAGGUAGAUAGGUUUGGAGUGGAAGUGUAGCGAUACAUGGAGCGGACAAAUACUAAUCGAUCGAGGACUUAACCAAAA